rnacentral:rRNA from 1 species
CACGUAGGGUGCGAGCGUUGUCCGGAAUUAUUGGCGUAAAGAGCUCGUAGGCGGUGUGUCGCGUCGGCCGUGAAAACCUGCAGCUUAACUGUGGGCUUGCGGUCGAUACGGGCAUCACUGGAGUUCGGUAGGGGAGACUGGAAUUCCUGGUGUAGCGGUGAAAUGCGCAGAUAUCAGGAGGAACACCGAUGGCGAAGGCAGGUCUCUGGGCAUUAACUGACGCUGAGGAGCGAAAGCAUGGGGAGCGAACAGG